AGGGGCAUAGCUCAAUUGGCAGAGUGGCGGUCUCCAAAACCGCAGGUUGCCGGUUCGAGUCCGGCUGCCCCUGCCA
rnacentral:tRNA from 1 species